CUUCUGGUGUAACUAUGUCCUGUGCAAUAUUUGGGACAUACUUAUGCUAAAA
rnacentral:miRNA from 1 species